UAGUUUUUUUAGAAAUAAAUUUAAUUUACAAAUUUUUAAUUUUUUGUUUAUUUUAUAAAUUUAAAAAAUUAUUAAUUUGAAUAUUUUAAGGGAUAAGCUUUUAAAUAAAGUAUUAAAAAUGUUAAAUAAUUAAUUAAAAUGUAUGUUUAAAAUUAUCAAUCAUUUAUAAGUUUAUUAUAAAUUAUUAUAUAAAUUUAAUAUUAUUUAAUUUUAUUUUAAUUUUUUAUAAAAAUGAUUUUUAAAAUUAUAAUAAAAAUGUAAUAAUGAUUUAAUUAGUAUAUAAAUUAUUGUUUAAAUAUUUUUGUAUAAAAAGUUUAUAUAAAGAACUCGGCAAAUUUAUAAUUAAAUUUAUGUUAUACUCGCCUGUUUAACAAAAACAUGUCUUUUUGAAUUUUAUUUAAAGUCUAACCUGCCCACUGAAUUUUAAAUGGCCGCAGUAAUUUGACUGUGCAAAGGUAGCAUAAUCAGUAGUCUUUUAAUUGAAGGCUUGUAUGAACGGUUGGACGAAGUAUAAUCUGUUUCAUAUUAUUUUAUUUUAGAAUUUUAUAUUUUAGUUAAAAAGCUAAAAUUUUAUUAAAAGACGAGAAGACCCUAUAAAUCUUUAUAUUUUAUGUUAUUUAAGUUUUUUGAUUUUAUUUUAUUUUUAUAAUGUAAUAAUAUUUUGUUGGGGUGAUGUUAAAAUUUAAUUAACUUUUAAUUUUUUAAAAUCAUUAAUUUAUGAAUUAUUGAUCCAUUAAUAUUGAUUAUAAGAUUAAGUUACUUUAGGGAUAACAGCGUAAUUUUUUUUGAGAGUUCAUAUCGAUAAAAAAGUUUGCGACCUCGAUGUUGGAUUAAGGUAUAAUUUUGGGUGUAGCUGUUCAAAUAUUAAGUCUGUUCGACUUUUA
rnacentral:rRNA from 1 species